rfam:Glarea lozoyensis ATCC 20868 chromosome Tnknown GLAREA15, whole genome shotgun sequence.
CUAGAGGUUGUCUUCACAACCACCACCAGUACAGAUUUGAUAUUUU